CUCGGACCAGGCUUCAUUCC
rnacentral:miRNA from 1 species